rnacentral:rRNA from 1 species
GUAGGUGGCAAGCGUUGUCCGGAAUUAUUGGGCGUAAAGCGCGCGCAGGCGGUUCUUUAAGUCUGAUGUGAAAGCCCACGGCACAACCGUGGAGGGUCAUUGGAAACUGGAGAACUUGAGUACAGAAGAGGAAAGCGGAAUUCCACGUGUAGCGGUGAAAUGCGUAGAGAUGUGGAGGAACACCAGUGGCGAAGGCGGCUUUCUGGUCUGUAACUGACGCUGAGGCGCGAAAGCGUGGGGAGCAAACAGGAUUAGAUACCCUGGUAGUCCACGCCGUAAACGAUGAGUGCUAAGUGUUAGGGGGGUUUCCGCCCCCCUUAGUGCUGCAGCUAACGCAUUAAGCACUCCGCCUGGGAGUACGGCCGCAAGGCUG